rnacentral:rRNA from 1 species
UACGAAGGGGGCUAGCGUUGCUCGGAAUCACUGGGCGUAAAGGGUGCGUAGGCGGGUUUUUAAGUCAGGGGUGAAAUCCUGGAGCUCAACUCCAGAACUGCCUUUGAUACUGAGAGCUUGAGUCCGGGAGAGGUGAGUGGAACUGCGAGUGUAGAGGUGAAAUUCGUAGAUAUUCGCAAGAACACCAGUGGCGAAGGCGGCUCACUGGCCCGGUACUGACGCUGAGGUGCGAAAGCGUGGGGAGCAAACAGG